ACGGAAGGCAGCAGUGAGGAAUAUUGGUCAAUGGUCGGAAGAUUGAACCAGCCAAGUCGCGUGCAGGAAGACGGUCCUAUGGAUUGUAAACUGCUUUUGUACGGGAAUAAAGUGCAGGACGUGUCCUGUUUGGAAUGUACCGUAAGAAUAAGGGUCGGCUAACUCCGUGCCAGCAGCCGCGGUAAUACGGAGGACCCGAGCGUUAUCCGGAUUUAUUGGGUUUAAAGGGUGCGCAGGCGGAGGAUUAAGUCAGCGGUGAAAUUUUCAUGCUCAACAUGAAAACUGCCAUUGAUACUGGUCCCCUUGAGAGAUGUCGAGGAUGGCGGAAUGUGAUGUGUAGCGGUGAAAUGCUUUGAUAUGUCACAGAACACCGAUUGCGAAGGCAGCUGUCCAGAGAUCAUCUGACGCUCAGGCACGAAAGCAUGGGUAUCAAACAGGAUUAGGUACCCUGGUA
rnacentral:rRNA from 1 species